GAUGAACGCUAGCUACAGGCUUAACACAUGCAAGUCGAGGGGAAACGAUAGAGAAAGCUUGCUUUUUCUAGGCGUCGACCGGCGCACGGGUGAGUAACGCGUAUCCAACCUGCCCACCACUUGGGGAUAACCUUGCGAAAGUAAGACUAAUACCCAAUGACGUCUCUAGAAGACAUCUGAAAGAGAUUAAAGAUUUAUCGGUGAUGGAUGGGGAUGCGUCUGAUUAGCUUGUUGGCGGGGUAACGGCCCACCAAGGCGACGAUCAGUAGGGGUUCUGAGAGGAAGGUCCCCCACAUUGGAACUGAGACACGGUCCAAACUCCUACGGGAGGCAGCAGUGAGGAAUAUUGGUCAAUGGACGAGAGUCUGAACCAGCCAAGUAGCGUGCAGGAUGACGGCCCUAUGGGUUGUAAACUGCUUUUAUAAGGGAAUAAAGUGGGAGUCGUGACUCUUUUUGCAUGUACCUUAUGAAUAAGGACCGGCUAAUUCCGUG
rnacentral:rRNA from 1 species